rnacentral:rRNA from 1 species
UACGAAGGGGGCUAGCGUUGCUCGGAAUCACUGGGCGUAAAGGGUGCGUAGGCGGGGCUUUAAGUCAGGGGGGAAAUCCUGGAGCUCAACUCCAGAACUGCCUUUGAUACUGAGGAUCUUGAGUUCGGGAGAGGUGAGUUGAACUGCGAGUGUAGAGGUGAAAUUCGUAGAUAUUCGCAAGAACACCAGUGGCGAAGGCGGCUCACUGGCCCGAUACUGACGCUGAGGCACGAAAGCGUGGGGAGCAAACAGG